CCCUUAGAUGUUCUGGGCCGCACGCGCGCUACACUGAUGCAUUCAACGAGCCUAUCCUUGACCGACAGGUCCGGGUAAUCUUUGAAUCUGCAUCGUGACGGGGAUAGAUUAUUGCAAUUAUUAAUCUUCAACGAGGAAUGCCUAGUAGGCGCAAGUCAUCAGCUUGCGUCGAUUACGUCCCUGCCCUUUGUACACACCGCCCGUCGCUCCUACCGAUUGGGUGUGCUGGUGAAAUGUUCGGAUCGGCCGUUUGUCGCGGUUUCCGCGGCUCGUUGCUGAGAAGUUCAUUAAACCCUCCCACCUAGAGGAAGGAGAAGUCGUAACA
rnacentral:rRNA from 1 species